GAUGAACGCUAGCUACAGGCUUAACACAUGCAAGUCGAGGGGAAACGACAUCGAAAGCUUGCUUUUAUUGGGCGCGGCCGGGGGACCGGGGGGGAACGGCGAACCCAACUUGCCAAUAACUUGGGAAAAACUUUGCGAAGGAAAGACUAAACCCCAAUGCAAUCCACCAAAAACAUCUGAAUGGGAUAAAAGAUUAAUCGGUGACGGAGGGGGUUGCGUUGGUUUGGUUUGUUGGCGGGGUAACGGCCCACCAAGGCAACGAUCAGUAGGGGUUCUGAGAGGAAGGUCCCCCACAUUGGAACUGAGACACGGUCCAAACUCCUACGGGAGGCAGCAGUGAGGAAUAUUGGUCAAUGGGCGAGAGCCUGAACCAGCCAAGUAGCGUGCAGGAUGACGGCCCUAUGGGUUGUAAACUGCUUUUAUAAGGGAAUAAAGUGGGUCUCGUGAGACUUUUUGCAUGUACCUUAUGAAUAAGGACCGGCUAAUUCCGUG
rnacentral:rRNA from 1 species